rnacentral:rRNA from 1 species
CUACGGGGGGCUCCAGUGGGGAAUAUUGGACAAUGGACCAAAAGUCUGAUCCAGCAAUUCUGUGUGUUUGAUGAAGGCCUUCGGGUUGUAAAGAACUUUAAGCAGGGAAGAAGAAAGUGACGGUACCUGCAGAAUAAGCGACGGCUAAAUACGUGCCAGCAGCCGCGGUAAUACGUAUGUCGCAAGCGUUAUCCGGAAUUAUUGGGCAUAAAGGGCGUCUAGGCGGUCUAGUAAGUCUGAUGUGAAAAUGCGGGGCUCAACUCCGUAUUGCGUUGGAAACUGCUAGACUAGAGUUUUGGAGAGGUAGGCGGAACUACAAGUGUAGAGGUGAAAUUCGUAGAGAUUUGUAGGAAUGCCGAUGACGAAGGUAGCUUACUGGACAAAUACUGACGCUGAAGCGCGAAAGCUAGGGGAGCAAACAGGAUUAGAUACCCCAGUAGUC